AUUGAACGCUGGCGGCAUGCCUUACACAUGCAAGUCGAACGGCAGCACGGGUGCUUGCACCUGGUGGCGAGUGGCGAACGGGUGAGUAAUACAUCGGAACGUACCUUAUCGUGGGGGAUAACGCAGCGAAAGCUGUGCUAAUACCGCAUACGCCCUGAGGGGGAAAGCGGGGGAUCGCAAGACCUCGCGCGAUUAGAGCGGCCGAUGCCUGAUUAGCUAGUUGGUGGGGUAAAAGCCCACCAAGGCGACGAUCAGUAGCUGGUCUGAGAGGACAACCAGACACACUGGGACUGAGACACGGCCCAGACUCCUACGGGAGGCAGCAGUGGGGAAUUUUGGACAAUGGGGGCAACCCUGAUCCAGCAAUGCCGCGUGAGUGAAGAAGGCCUUCGGGUUGUAAAGCUCUUUUGUCAGGGAAGAAACACCGGCUCUAACACAGUCCGGGAAUGACGGUACCUGAAGAAUAAGCACCGGCUAACUACGUGCCAGCCGCCGCCGUAA
rnacentral:rRNA from 1 species